AUUGAACGCUGGCGGCAGGCCUAACACAUGCAAGUCGAACGAGUGGCGGACGGGUGAGUAAUGUCUGGGAAACUGCCCGAUGGCGGGGGAUAACUACUGGAAACGGUAGCUAAUACCGCAUACCAUCGGAUGUGCCCCGAUGGGAUUAGCUAGUAGGUGGGGUAAUGGCGCACCUAGGCGACGAUCCCUAGCUGGUCUGAGAGGAUGACCAGCGACACUGGAACGGAGACACGGGGCAGACUCCUACGGGAGGCAGCAGUGGGGAAUAUGGCACAAGGGGAGCAAGGCUGAUGCAGCCAGGCCGCGUGUAUGAAGAAGGCCGUCGGGUGGGAAAGGACGUUCAGCUAGGAGGCGUUACUCGCAGAAGAAGCACCGGCUAACUCCGUGCCAGCAGCCGCGGUAAUAC
rnacentral:rRNA from 1 species